rnacentral:rRNA from 1 species
ACUCCUGCGGGAGGCAGCAGUAGGGAAUCUUCGGCAAUGGGGGCAACCCUGACCGAGCAACGCCGCGUGAGUGAAGAAGGUUUUCGGAUCGUAAAGCUCUGUUGUAAGUCAAGAACGAGUGUGAGAGUGGAAAGUUCACACUGUGACGGUAGCUUACCAGAAAGGGACGGCUAACUACGUGCCAGCAGCCGCGGUAAUACGUAGGUCCCGAGCGUUGUCCGGAUUUAUUGGGCGUAAAGCGAGCGCAGGCGGUUUGAUAAGUCUGAAGUUAAAGGCUGUGGCUCAACCAUAGUUCGCUUUGGAAACUGUCAAACUUGAGUGCAGAAGGGGAGAGUGGAAUUCCAUGUGUAGCGGUGAAAUGCGUAGAUAUAUGGAGGAACACCGGUGGCGAAAGCGGCUCUCUGGUCUGUAACUGACGCUGAGGCUCGAAAGCGUGGGGAGCGAACAGGAUUAGAUACCCUAGUAGUCCCAUG